rnacentral:SRP_RNA from 1 species
GCUGGGCAUGGUGGUGCAUGCCUGUAAUCCCAGCUACUUGGGAGGCUGAGGCAGGAGAAUCGCUUGAACCCAGGAGACCGAGGCUGCAGUGAGCUGAGAUCAUGCCACUGCAUUCCAGCCUGGGCAACAGAACGAGACUCUGUCUCAA